rnacentral:rRNA from 1 species
UACGUAGGGUGCGGGCGUUGUUCGGAAUUAUUGGGCGUAAAGGGCUCGUAGGCGGUCUGUCGCGUCGGGAGUGAAAACUCAGGGCUUAACCCUGAGCCUGCUUCCGAUACGGGCAGACUAGAGGUAUGCAGGGGAGAACGGAAUUCCUGGUGUAGCGGUGAAAUGCGCAGAUAUCAGGAGGAACACCGGUGGCGAAGGCGGGUCUCUGGGCCGAAACUGACGCUGAGGAGCGAAAGCGUGGGGAGCGAACAGG